AUUAGGUGAUGCAAAACUAAUUGCGGUUUUCCAGUUUUGUUUUAAUUGCAAAAACUUUAAUUACUUUUGUACCAACCUAAUA
rnacentral:miRNA from 10 species